AUUGAACGCUGGCGGCAGGCCUAAUACAUGCAAGUCGAGCGAGCGGCGGACGGGUGAGUAAUGUAUGGGGACCGCCCGAUAGAGGGGGGUAACCACUGGAAACGGUAGGUAAAAACGCAUAUUACCGGAUAACCCAUAUGUGAUUAGCUAGUAGGUGAGGUAAUGGCUCACCUAGGCGACGAUCCCUAGCUGGUCUGAGAGGAUGAUCGGCCACACUGGAACGGAGACACGGCCCAGACCCCUACGGAGGCAGCAGUGGGGAAUAUUGGACAAUGGGCGCAAUCCUGAUGAAGCCAUGCCGCGUGUAUGAAGAAGGCCCUAGGGUUGUAAAGUACUUUCAGUCGGGAGGCGUUACCGACAGAGAAAGCACCGGCUAACUCCGUGCCAGCAGCCGCGGUAAUAC
rnacentral:rRNA from 1 species